AACCAUCUCGACAGUCUCCCCAGAGUAUUGGGUGUAUUGAGUCCAUGAAUGGACGAUUUUCACUUGGAUCUUCCAUUGAGUCUUGAAUGGUUUGACUGCAUUAAGUUCGGUGAUGGGAAGAGCCAUUGUUUGAGAGAUCGGAGUACUAAAUGCGAGAGAAAUAUAAAGGCCCAGCUUGACUAAGCCCAGUAAGCUCAUUAUGCACUUCUGGAUGAAGAUCCGACUGGUGGCUCCAAGAUCCGCUGGUAAUGGCUCCAAGAUCCGCGUGUAAUUGCCCUGGAAAUUGUCCAUUAUACCCUCUGACGAAUUUGGUUAUUUAGUCGUAGGUUUAAAAUUUUCCAAUGGCAUUCUAUUAUAAUUUUUUACACUUUAUAAGGUUAGUUAAGUUAGAAUGAUUCCCAAUUAA